CAGCCGUAAACUAUGCGCGUUAGGUGUAUCGGUGACCACGAGUUACCGAGGUGCCGAAGGGAAACCGUGAAACGUGCCGCCUGGGAAGUACGGCCGCAAGGCUGAAACUUAAAGGAAUUGGCGGGGGAGCACCACAACAGGUGGAGCCUGCGGUUUAAUUGGACUCAACGCCGGGAAGCUCACCGGAUAGGACAGCAGAAUGAUUGCCGGGCUGAAGACCCUGCAUGACUAGCUGAGAGGAGGUGCAUGGCGUAGACGUCU
rnacentral:rRNA from 1 species